GAUGAACGCUGGCGGCGUGCUUAACACAUGCAAGUCGAACGAAGCACUUAAGACGGAUUCUUCGGAUGAAGGCUUUUGUGACUGAGUGGCGGACGGGUGAGUAACGCGUGGGUAACCUGCCUCAUACAGGGGGAUAACAGUUAGAAAUGGCUGCUAAUACCGCAUAAGCGCACAGUACCGCAUGGUACGGUGUGAAAAACUCCGGUGGUAUGAGAUGGACCCGCGUUGGAUUAGCUAGUUGGGAGGGUAACGGCCUACCAAGGCGACGAUCCAUAGCCGGCCUGAGAGGGUGGACGGCCACAUUGGGACUGAGACACGGCCCAGACUCCUACGGGAGGCAGCAGUGGGGAAUAUUGCACAAUGGGGGAAACCCUGAUGCAGCGACGCCGCGUGAGCGAAGAAGUAUUUCGGUAUGUAAAGCUCUAUCAGCAGGGAAGAAAAUGACGG
rnacentral:rRNA from 1 species